GGGAAUGCAGGGGGCUGAGCGGGGCGGGGGGGACACAGGGGCAGUGGAACUGGGCACUGAAGAGCUCCGAGGGGCAUGGGGGGAGAGCGCAGGGAAGCAGAUGGGAAUGGAUGGCAUGAGGGAAGGGUUAGAUCAAAAUAGGCCUUUGGACCCUUUGGGAGCCGCUGACUUCAGCAACGUUUAUAGCUGAACACAGAAGCUCUGUGUGGAGAGACUACAUCCAUACUGACGGUGCAAAGUACCACCUCCUCCAUGCUGCUGGGAAGGUAGAAGUAGCAACUCGGGGCUUAGUUUUUCAGUCUUGUAACAGCCACUCCUGUUUCAUCUCCCAAGGGUCUUGGUGACAGCUUGAUGUUCAUUUCUCCCUGUGAAGGAAGCUUCUAUGGGGAAUAUGUACCUAGGAGUAUAGUUACAGUGGUUUUCUCUUAACAGGAGAAGCCACAUGGUUUCUGUUAAGGAAAUAGGGAAAACAACUCAGUUGCUAAUGCACUGAUUUUUUAAGAGCAUCCAGAUGAAUGUGAAUGUGGCUUAGGUUCACUAAACGUUUUUUAAAAGACUUGCAAAGUCAGGUUCUGACGGUAGUGUAUUGGGUAACUCCAGUGCUGCUGUUAAUGUUAAUGUAAUUGUAUUAAGCAACAGAACAAAGCAUCCUGAAUGCAUAUAUGCUACAUGACUGUAUAGAAGUCACAAAUUAGGAUGUAAGUCCAAAGGUUGGUUUAAUAAAGUUGGUGUUCCCUGAAAAA